UUCCGGUUCUCAGUGACAUCCAUCAAGGUAAAUAUCUAGAAGACAAUACUGCAGCUGUUCGCUUAAUAUGAAUUGGUAUAUGAACUCAUACAAAAAUCCCUAAAUCCAGGUGUGCAGAGCUUGUCACAUACCCAAAAAAGACUUGAGGCUUUAAUCGCUGUCAAAGUAGGAGAAGACAUGGGAGAGGUGGUCAGGACCAGAUAGGACAGCAGAAGUCAAGGCAGACUCUGAGCUCACAGAGGUCUGAGCGGAGGCUGAACAUGGUCUGAUGGACCGCCUCUUUUUGCUGACCUUCUUCUUCUGUUCAGUCUUGUGGGUUUUGUUCUGGGAGUUGCGCUGGAAGAAAGGCAAGGAAAGUCAGAUUGAAGAAUGGCUCCAGGGACACAGCCUAUCCGAAUACAAGUGUUUGUUU